rnacentral:rRNA from 1 species
CCUACGGGAGGCAGCAGUGGGGAAUUUUGGACAAUGGGCGAAAGCCUGAUCCAGCCAUGCCGCGUGCAGGAUGAAGGCCUUCGGGUUGUAAACUGCUUUUGUACGGAACGAAAAGGUCUUUUCUAAUAAAGAAGGCUCAUGACGGUACCGUAAGAAUAAGCACCGGCUAACUACGUGCCAGCAGCCGCGGUAAUACGUAGGGUGCGAGCGUUAAUCGGAAUUACUGGGCGUAAAGCGUGCGCAGGCGGUUAUAUAAGACAGUUGUGAAAUCCCCGGGCUCAACCUGGGAACUGCAUCUGUGACUGUAUAGCUAGAGUACGGUAGAGGGGGAUGGAAUUCCGCGUGUAGCAGUGAAAUGCGUAGAUAUGCGGAGGAACACCGAUGGCGAAGGCAAUCCCCUGGACCUGUACUGACGCUCAUGCACGAAAGCGUGGGGAGCAAACAGGAUUAGAUACCCUGGUAGUCCACGCCCUAAACGAUGUCAACUGGUUGUUGGGUCUUCACUGACUCAGUAACGAAGCUAACGCGUGAAGUUGACCGCCUGGGGAGUACGGCCGCAAGGUUGAAACUUAAAGGAAAUUGACGGNUUGNGAGNGCGAGACGACGACGAGGAGGAGG